GGGUUCUGGGUGGUCCUGGAGGAGGAGAAGACACCAANNNNNNNNNNCCAAAUUUUGGGGUUCUGGGUGGUCCUGGAGGAGGAGAAGACACCAAGGGGAGGUCCCCAAAUUUUGGGGGGUCCUCAAAUUUUUGGGUGUCCCCAAAUUCCGGAGGUGGACCUGGGAUGUCCCCAAAUCCCAGGAGGUCCCCAAAUUUUGGGGUGUCCCCAAAUUCCGGAGGCGGAUCCGGGAGGUCCCCAAAUUCCGGGGUUCUGGGUGGUCCUGGAGGAGGAGAAGACACCAAUGGUGGGGUCCCGUCAGGAUUUUUGGGGUCCCGGGUGGGGAUUUUGGGGUCCCGGGUGGGAUUUUUCAGGGUCCCGGGGGGGGAUUUGGGGGUCCGGGUGGGAUUUUUCGGGGUCCCAUGUGGGAUUUUGGGGUUCCGGGUGGGGAUUUUGGGGUCUCCCAACCCCCCCAGGAUUUUGGGGUGACCCCGCUCACCGUGGGGGCGCCAGGGGGGCACCCCCGGGGGCAGCAGGUGCUGGAACAGGGGGUUGGUGUGGAAAUGGGGCUCCUCCUCCUCCUCCUGGUCUUCAUCAUCUUCAUCUUCAUCUUCAUCGUCUUCAUCUUCAUCUUCAUCUUCAUCUUCAUCAUCUUCAUCUUCAUCGUCUUCGUCGUUCUCGUCUUCGGCAUCGUGGUUCUCCUCAUCCAGGUUCUCAUCCGGGUUCUCCUCCAGGUUCUCCUCCUCCAGGUUCUUCUCAUCCAGGUUCUCCUCCAGGUUCUCCUUUUCUUCAUUCUCAUAGGAGGAGCCACCAUGGUCAUCAUGGUCAUUGUGGUCAUGGUGGUCAUGGUGGUCACUGAGGUCAUGGUGGUCAUGGUGGUCAUGGUGGUCACUGAGGUCAUGGUGGUCAUCACGGUCAUCGUUGGCGUGGUGGUCGCCAUCGUUGCCGGCACCUUCCUCUUCCUCCUGGCUGAGUUUGGGGACUUGGGGUCCGGGGGAGAUGGGACCGUCUGUGGUGGGACCAUCUGUGGUGGGACCAUCUGUGGUGGGACCGUCCAUGGUGGGACCAUCCAUGGUCACAGGUCUGGGGGAGAUGUCCCCAUCCCUGGUCACUGUCCAUGAGGAGAUGUCCCCACCCAUGGACGUGUGGGAGAUGCUCCCAAAGAGGAACUCAAAGCUUUGGUCCAUGGGAACGGCCUGGGGUGGGAUGUCCUCAUCCAUGGACACCUGGGAGAUGCCUUCAAACGUGGCUCCAUGGCCUUGGAGCUCCUGGGAGAUGCUCCCGGCCACCGUCAUGGACUUGGGUGGGGUGGACCCAUCAGUGGACACCUGGAGAAUGUCCUCAACCUUGGCCAUGGGCUUGGGUGGGAUGUCCACACCCAUGGACACCUGGAAGAUCUCCUCAAAUGUGGAUCCGUGGCCUUGGAGCUCCUGGGAGACGCUCCCGGCCCCAUCCGGGUGGAGAUCCUGGGGGAGGUCCUGGUGGUGGUUCCAGGGAUGGUCCUGGGGGUGGUCCUGGUGGAGGUCCUGGUGGAGGUUCUGGAGAAGGUCCUGGGUGUGGUCCUGGUGGUGGUCCUGGUGGAGGUCCUGCUGGAGGUCAUGGUGGUGGUUCUGGAGAAGGUCCUGGUGGUGGCCCUGGGGGUGGUCCUGGAGAAGAUCCUGGUGGUGGCCCUGGUGGAGGUCCUGGUGGUGGCCCUGGGGGUGGCCCUGGUGGAGGCCCUGGUGGAGGCCCUGGUGGAGGCCCUGGUGGAGGCCCUGGUGGUGGUCCUGGAGAAGGUCCUGGUGGUGGCCCUGGUGGAGGUCCUGGUGGAGGUCCUGGAGAAGGUCCUGGGGGUGGCCCUGGAGAAGGUCCUGGGGGUGGCCCUGGAGAAGGUCUUGGGGGUGGUCCUGGUGGAGGUUCUGGAGAAGGUCCUGGGGGUGGCCCUGGUGGUGGCCCUGGUGGAGGUCCAGGUGGUGGCCCUGGUGGUGGCCCUGGUGGAGGU
rnacentral:lncRNA from 1 species